AUUUAUUUAAAAAUUAUCGAAUCGUUUAUUAUAAUUAAAUUUAUGGCAACCUGGGAUCACCUCCUAUUGGUGCAGGUGUUCUCCUAGGCCUAACAUGCCGUUUGCGUACUUUUAAUGGUUCUGGUGGUGGAAGUCUUGCAGCUCUUUCUUGCAGCUCUCUGGCAGUUUUGGCUUGACGAAGUUGUUCAGUUCUCGUUAGACCUGGACGUCGACUCAUUUUGUCCUUUGUAAAUUAAUGAAGGAGGAAAA